UUUUCUGCAGUUAUCGGAUUAUUGGUCGUAUGUAAACGCGUGGAUCAGAUUACUGACACAAUAAGAUUUUCUGCAGUUAUCGGAUUAUUGGUCGUAUGUAAACGCGUGGAUCAGAUUACUGACACAAUAAGAUUUUCUGCAGUUAUCGGAUUAUUGAUCGUAUGUAAACGCGUGGAUCAGAUUACUGACACAAUCAGAUUUUCUGCGGUUAUCGGAUUAUUGGUCGUAUGUAAACGCGUGGAUCAGAUUACUGACGAAAUCAGAUUUUCUGCAGUUAUCGGAUUAUUGAUCGUAUGUAAACGCGUGGAUCAGAUUACUGACACAAUCAGAUUUUCUGCAGUUAUUGGAUUAUUGGUCGUAUGUAAACGCGUGGAUCAGAUUACUGACACAAUCAGAUUUUCUGCAGUUAUCGGAUUAUUGGUCGUAUGUAAACGCGUGGAUCAGAUUACUGACGAAAUCAGAUUUUCUGCAGUUAUCGGAUUAUUGAUCGUAUGUAAACGCGUGGAUCAGAUUACUGACACAAUAAGAUUUUCUGCAGUUAUCGGAUUAUUGAUCGUAUGUAAACGCGUGGAUCAGAUUACUGACACAAUCAGAUUUUCUGCGGUUAUCGGAUUAUUGGUCGUAUGUAAACGCGUGGAUCAGAUUACUGACACAAUCAGAUUUUCUGCAGUUAUCGGAUUAUUGGUCGUAUGUAAACGCGUGGAUCAGAUUACUGACACAAUAAGAUUUUCUGCAGUUAUCGGAUUAUUGAUCGUAUGUAAACGCGUGGAUCAGAUUACUGACACAAUCAGAUUUUCUGCGGUUAUCGGAUUAUUGGUCGUAUGUAAACGCGUGGAUCAGAUUACUGACGAAAUCAGAUUUUCUGCAGUUAUCGGAUUAUUGAUCGUAUGUAAACGCGUGGAUCAGAUUACUGACACAAUAAGAUUUUCUGCAGUUAUCGAAUUAUUGGUCGUAUGUAAACGCGUGGAUCAGAUUACUGACACAAUCAGAUUUUCUGCAGUUAUCGGAUUAUUGGUCGUAUGUAAACGCGUGGAUCAGAUUACUGACACAAUAAGAUUUUCUGCAGUUAUCGGAUUAUUGGUCGUAUGUAAACGCGUGGAUCAGAUUACUGACACAAUCAGAUUUUCUGCAGUUAUCGGAUUAUUGGUCGUAUGUAAACGCGUGGAUCAGAUUACUGACGAAAUCAGAUUUUCUGCAGUUAUCGGAUUAUUGAUCGUAUGUAAACGCGUGGAUCAGAUUACUGACACAAUCAGAUUUUCUGCGGUUAUCGGAUUAUUGGUCGUAUGUAAACGCGUGGAUCAGAUUACUGACACAAUCAGAUUUUCUGCAGUUAUCGGAUUAUUGGUCGUAUGUAAACGCGUGGAUCAGAUUACUGACACAAUCAGAUUUUCUGCAGUUAUCGGAUUAUUGGUCGUAUGUAAACGCGUGGAUCAGAUUACUGACACAAUAAGAUUUUCUGCAGUUAUCGGAUUAUUGAUCGUAUGUAAACGCGUGGAUCAGAUUACUGACACAAUCAGAUUUUCUGCAGUUAUCGGAUUAUUGAGUGCGUGUAAACACACUCAGUGA
ensembl:lncRNA